UUUUAUGGAGAGUUUGAUCCUGGCUCAGGAUGAACGCUGGCGGCGUGCCUAAUACAUGCAAGUCGAGCGAACGGAUGAGAAGCUUGCUUCUCUGAUGUUAGCGGCGGACGGGUGAGUAACACGUGGAUAACCUACCUAUAAGACUGGGAUAACUUCGGGAAACCGGAGCUAAUACCGGAUAAUAUUUUGAACCGCAUGGUUCAAAAGUGAAAGACGGUCUUGCUGUCACUUAUAGAUGGAUCCGCGCUGCAUUAGCUAGUUGGUAAGGUAACGGCUUACCAAGGCAACGAUGCAUAGCCGACCUGAGAGGGUGAUCGGCCACACUGGAACUGAGACACGGUCCAGACUCCUACGGGAGGCAGCAGUAGGGAAUCUUCCGCAAUGGGCGAAAGCCUGACGGAGCAACGCCGCGUGAGUGAUGAAGGUCUUCGGAUCGUAAAACUCUGUUAUUAGGGAAGAACAUAUGUGUAAGUAACUGUGCACAUCUUGACGGUACCUAAUCAGAAAGCCACGGCUAACUACGUGCCAGCAGCCGCGGUAAUACGU
rnacentral:rRNA from 1 species